CCACCGGGGCAUGCCUCAGUAACGGCGAGUGAGCGGCAACAGCUCAAAUUUGAAAUCUGGCUCCUUCGGGGCCCGAGUUGAAAUUUGCAGAGGAUGCUUCGGGUACGGGUUCCUUCCGAGUUCCCUGGAACGGGACGCCAUAGAGGGUGAGAGCCCCGUCUGGUAGGACACCCAGCCCGUGUGAAGCUCCCUCGACGAGUCGAGUAGUUUGGGAAUGCUGCUCUAACGGGAGGUAUACUCCUUCCAAGGCUAAAUACCGGCUGGAGACCGAUAGCGCACAAGUAGAGUGAUCGAAAGAUGAAAAGCACUUUGAAAAGAGAGUCAAAUAGCACGUGAAAUUGUUGAAAGGGAAGCGCUCGCUACCAGACAUGGGUUCGGCGGUUCAACCGGGGCCACGCCCCGGGGCACUCCGCCGGCCCAGGCCAGCAUCAGCUUUCCGUCGGGGGCAAAGGCGUCGGGAAUGUGGCUCUCCUUCGGGGGAGUGUUAUAGCCCGGCGUGUCAUACCCUUCGGGGGGCUGAGGUACGCGCUUCUGCAAGGAUGCUGGCGUAAUGGUAGCUAGUGACCCGUCUUGAAACACGGACCA
rnacentral:rRNA from 1 species